rnacentral:rRNA from 1 species
AGUGAACGCUGGCGAUAGGCCUAACACAUGCAAGUCGAACGGCAGCACAGUAAGAGCUUGCCCUUACGGGUGGCGAGUGGCGGACGGGUGAGGAAUACAUCGGAAUCUACUUUUUCGUGGGGGAUAACGUAGGGAAACUUACGCUAAUACCGCAUACGACCUACGGGUGAAAGCAGGGGAUCUUCGGACCUUGCGCGAUUGAAUGAGCCGAUGUCGGAUUAGCUAGUUGGCGGGGUAAAGGCCCACCAAGGCGACGAUCCGUAGCUGGUCUGAGAGGAUGAUCAGCCACACUGGAACUGAGACACGGUCCAGACUCCUACGGGAGGCAGCAGUGGGGAAUAUUGGACAAAGGGCGCAAGCCUGAUCCAGCCAUACCGCGUGGGUGAAGAAGGCCUUCGGGUUGUAAAGCCCUUUUGUUGGGAAAGAAAAGCAGCAGGUUAAUACCCCGCUGUUCUGACGGUACCCAAAGAAUAAGCACCGGCUAACUUCGUG